UGUAGAUUAGUGUAGAUUAAGUUUAGGUUUAUGUUGAGGUGUAGAUUAGGUUUAAAUUCAGGUUGAGGUGUAGAUUAGGUUUAAAUUGAGGUGCAGAUUAGGUUUAAAUUGAGGUGAAGAUUAGGUUUAAAUUGAGGUGUAGAUUAGGUUUAAAUUGAGGUGUAGAUUAGGUUUAAAUUGAGGUGUAGAUUAGGUUUAAAUUGAGGUGUAGAUUAGGUUUAAAUUGAG